rnacentral:rRNA from 1 species
UUCGAUUCGGUGUGACAAGGCCCGGGAACGUAUUCACCGCGGCGUGCUGAUCCGCGAUUACUAGCGAUUCCAACUUCAUGGAGUCGAGUUGCAGACUCCAAUCCGAACUGAGAGCGGCUUUUUGGGAUUGGCUCCCCCUCGCGGGUUUGCGACCCUUUGUACCGCCCAUUGUAGCACGUGUGUGGCCCUGGACAUAAGGGCCAUGAUGACUUGACGUCGUCCCCACCUUCCUCCGGCUUAACGCCGGCAGUCUCCCUAGAGUGCCCAACUGAAUGGUGGCAACUAAGGACGAGGGUUGCGCUCGUUGCGGGACUUAACCCAACACCUCACGGCACGAGCUGACGACAGCCAUGCAGCACCUGAACCGGCAGUCCCCGAAGGGAAAAUCCUAUUUCUAGGACGAUCCACCGUUGUCUAGCCCAGGUAAGGUUCUUCGCGUUAAUCACUA